AUUCCAGCUCCAAUAGCGUAUACUAAAGUUGUUGCAGUUAAAAAGCUCGUAGUUGGAUUUCUAAUCUCUCUUGGGGUUCCUUUUCUAAAGAAAUGUGCGACCAUUCAAGAGAGAUUAUCCUCGUGCCUAGCCUUUCUCACUUUCAUUAGUCAGGAAGGGGACGCACGUCAUUUACUGUGAGCAAAAUAGAGUGUUCAAAGCAGGCUUAGGCCAUGAAUAUAUUAGCAUGGAAUAAUAAGAUAGGACCUUGGUCUAUUUUGUUGGUUUACAUUCCAAGGUAAUGAUUAAUAGGGAUAGUUGGGGGUAUUCGUAUUCAAUUGUCAGAGGUGAAAUUCUUGGAUUUAUGGAAGACGAACUACUGCGAAAGCAUUUACCAAGGAUGUUUCCAUUA
rnacentral:rRNA from 1 species